AUGCUCACUUUGGCAGUACAUAUACUAAAACUGGAAUGAUACAGUGAACUUUAGCAUGGCAUAUGCGCCAAGAUGCCACACAAAUUCAUGGAGCAUUCCGUAUUAAA
ensembl:snRNA U6 U6 spliceosomal RNA